GAAUAUUGCACAAUGGGCGCAAGCCUGAUGCAGCGACUCCGCGUGGGGGAUGACGGCCUUCGGGUUGUAAACUCCUUUCGAUCACGACGAAGCCUUCAUCGGUGACGGUAGUGAUAGAAGAAGCACCGGCUAACUACGUGCCAGCCGCCGCGGUAAUACGUAGGGUGCGAGCGUUGUCCGGAAUUACUGGGCGUAAAGAGCUCGUAGGUGGUUUGUCGCGUCACUUGUGGAAAACCGGGGCUUAACUCCGGUCGGGCAGGUGAUACGGGCUUACUUGAGUGCUGUAGGGGAGACUGGAAUUCCUGGUGUAGCGGUGAAAUGCGCAGAUAUCAGGAGGAACACCGAUGGCGAAGGCAGGUCUCUGGGCAGUUACUGACGCUGAGGAGCGAAAGCAUGGGUAUCGAACA
rnacentral:rRNA from 1 species